GAUGUGCUUGUGCGACGGGGCGUGACCUCUUGUGCCUCUGCCAUCGCCGUGAGAAGAACGUGCCCCAGCUAGCUCGCUGGUCCCUGGAGGAAGAGAGACAUGUGGCACAGACCCGGACCCAAACGGCAGCCUGGAGCCCAAGCCAGCUGAUCCCAGCCGACAUCAGCCAAACCGUGCUGCUCUACGGGGUCUGAGUAGAGGCUCAGCGGUAUGUCGCCGAAGCUUCCAGCCGUCCGGUCCCAGCAGUAGCUAUGGACAUACAAGUCCACCCUCCAGCCCCUCUUGGAAACUUACGCAAGAGGAAGGUGUCCGGGAAGAGGCGGCCUCACGGGAAUCCUUGUCCCAGGAGACUAUUCCUUCCUCGUGUGAGUCUCAAUAGUGAUGUCAUAGUCUCUGUGACUCACCUCUCCCAGGAGGCUUUAGUGUGUUAGUAAUAACAGUCAUUAGCGUUCACCUGGGGUUUUAUAAGCAGGAGGUGACAGUGACUUGCAACUAUCUUCUGAGGUUUGGGAAAGGCCAGGAUUAUGACGUCCAUUUUGCCAAGAGGAAAUAAAAAACAGACAAGCAGGUCAGCAUGAGAACGAAUGCUGUCCCACCCAGGAACAUCCAGAGUGCACCAAGAAUAGACUGAGGGCUGGGGGUCGAUUUGGGAGAAGCAGCCAGGGUUUCUUCUUCAUGAAUAUGUUUCACCGCAGAGUUCCAUUGAAUUGGAGAAAUUACAACUCCGAUGAUAGGCUCCGUGGUUGGUUGGGGUCCUGACAUCACCUAUCCCCGUGCCGUGAAGGUUUCGGGUUUUGUUCUCAUUUGACUUUACGCUGAGAGCCAAGUCUUAGCCAGAGCAGGAUAUAUAUUUUAAAAAAAUAAAAAUAAAAAUAAAAACCCAUGUGCCCAGCUUUCCUUUAAAGCAGUCGUUCUCAAACUGCUCAAUACCAGAAGGGUCAGGAGUGCAUGUCGAAACACAGAAUGCUGAGCUCCACUCCAGGGGUCCUGACUCGGCAUUUCUAACGAAUUCCCACCUGGUGUUGAUGCUGCUGGUCCGGGGACCACACUUGAAGAGCUGCUAGUCUCAGUGUUUUAAGCUGGCUCCUGGAUACGGUGACCUCCUCCCAAGUCCGAGGAGCUGGCUCUUUGGCCCGGCUGUGCCACGGCCCGGCCCCGUCCACCCUCACACCAGGACUAGUCCGUCUCUGCUUUGCGGUCUGCGUAGGCACACGGGGACAUUGUGGCCCGUGUCAAAAGGCCACGAAGGCCUGAAAGUUACUGUAGCAGAAUCGGAAACCUUACCAGGGUCCCUGCUAGCUUUUAGGAGAAGCACUUGAAGCUUCAGGGAAGAGAAGUUUACAUCCUGGGAAAACCCCGGCUCCAGUAGCCAAGCUUUGAACAGGUGGCAGCAGCCGGGUGUCUCCCCCACCCCCUUCCAAAGGCCAUGGGACUCCUGGCCAUCAUCUGUGAGGGGCUCCGUGUACUCUCCACACUGCCUGGUCUGUGCCUCAGCCCACAAUCUCUUUCUUUCUUGAGCCUUACAGGAGAAGGUGAGAAGGGCUAAGAUAUGCGUUCCCUGUCACAAUUAAAAUAAAGUCCAAACUCCUGACCAUGGCCUGCCUGGCGCUCAGACCUCCUCUCCCUGCUCUCCAGCUCAUCAGCUCCACUCUGACCCUCUGGCCUCCCUGCUGUCCCUCCAACACCAAUCUUUUUCCGUCCUGAAUCUCUGCGUUCCCGCUGUCUGCUAAGCCAAGGAUCCAGAUGGGACAGGAGACUGGUGGUUCAGGCGGCCCCUCUCCAGAGAGAGCCUCCUGUUCUCCUUCCAUAAGGCAGCCCCACUUCCCACCCAUUCCUUCUGUCCCUAUCUUCAGAGGACUUGUCACCAUCUGACACCAUCUCUAGGAUGGAAGUUCCAGGAAGGCCACAACCUCGUCUGCCUUUCCCAGCCGUGUCCCCAGCACCUGGACCAUGCCUGGCACAUCACACGGGUUCAAUAAAGAUUUAUGGAAUGAAUCUGUGGCCUCUGCCAGAUAUACUAUGAGAGGCAAGGUCUAGAAUCCUUAAGCGACAUACCCCAGACCUUGAUUCUAAAGUCCAGAGUCUGGCUCUGGGUUUACUGCCUCACAGCUUGUUCAGAUGGGAAGAACCGGGAUCACAGAUGUCACCGCUACUGUCACUCUGGACAAAGCCCUCAACUUGUGUUGCCCUGACCUGCCUCACCUACCAAAUGGCUGGAUAACAUCGGUGUCGCCUGCCCCCAAGACUGUGUCAAGGCUCAGAUGAGAUGGGAUGUGAAGCAGUGGCUGCCAGUCCUAUGUUGAUAUGCCCUCAGAUCAUUUGCUAUUUCUGGGCACAUGGGCUCUCCCUGUGCUUCCACUCCAGGCUUACCCGCAUCUGUGCAUCAGAGGACACCCCCAGGCUACUGGAACUGCUUUGGGUCUGCCCCGUAUGUCCCACUCCUGCAGCCCUUAACCAAAGAUGGAGGAGUAUAGGCUAACAACUCUCCAACUCUCUCAUCUCUGAUGGGGACAUGUAAGUGUGACCCAUACUGUGCCAACAGUACCCUCCUAGGGACUUGGCUUGACAUCUAGUCUUGUUUGUUCUUCUACCCUUCCCAGGCCUGUUUCUACACCCUGAGUACCUGUAAAACACCGGGAACACUUCCUAAUGAGUCACUUUCACUGGAAUAUUCCGUCACGAUCUGCUUCUGGGGAACCCAGCUUAAAACCGGAACAUGUUGAUUUCUUGACCGCGGCUCAUUUUCCCUGUCAUUCCAACUCUUUUUCCUGCGUCAGGAAAGACUCUUUAAUAGAAUACAGCCACAGAUACAGCAACAAGCACUCUUCCCAUUGGAUGAGAAGCAAUGGAAGACAAGGAGCCAUCAAGGCUUUACAUCUGUUGGAGCAGAAUGUAGAAUUUUGGCUUUGAAUUUUCUUGAGAAAAGACAGGGCAACAAGGUAAGCUUCUAACUCUUGUGCCCAUAAGUGUGUGGCCCUACUUACAGGCUCCCCACUUGGGGGCUCUCUUCAGAUAAACCUCUGCAGGAGCCAGAGUGGAGACCAGUGGUCCCUGAAUGACUGGCACACACAGGCUGGACCACAUCACCUCCCCCAUUUAGAGCAAGGGGACCUUGUAGCAAAGUGGUGGGGGUGGGUGGGUAGGCUGAGUCCACGUGAUGAAUGAGUGGCCAUGUGUCCUCAAAAAGACUUUUAAAGAGUCACUUCUCCAUUCCCUGGGGCUUUCUCAUCCCAAGACUUCCCAUCUUUGGAGAUCAAGUUCAGAUGUUGGGGGUGGGGAGGCAUCCCUCUUUCCAUCCAAGGGUUUCAGGCAGAAAAAAAUGGAAUGGCAUUUAAUAACUUCCCUCACUGCACUAUAAAGACAAUGGCAGGGUUAGGUGUUCCUGAGCUCUCUGGGAUUUUAUUAGUUUGUUAUACUUCAAAGGGCUCUGGUGGUGCUGCCAUAACCUACUUCGGAGGAAAACAUUUAUUAUUAACAUUGGUUUAACACUUAACUUUCUAGGGUAUUUGUGGAUGGCACAGUCAUACAUCUGCCUUUUUAUAGUGCUUUGCAGCAGAGCACAAGACCUCUGGCUGACACCUCAUACAUCAUCAAAAUUAAGACCUCUAGGCAAACAGGGUAAAGUAGGGGGGGGGUGGGGUGGGACAGCAACUUGGGAUGACUCAAAUGGUUUCCCAGUUAACUUUCCUUUAGAGAGAGACUGUUUCCAUUAAGGAGCAAAUUAUUCUUAACGUUAAGACACCCUUGUUUCCUUGGCAACCCACAACAACUUGAAAGGAAGGGUCCACCGUGGCCCUACAGCCAAGUGAUGCCUCCUACCUGGCUGGCGGCUGGUGGAGAUUAACCCAGACGUGGGGUCAGCCAGCCAGGGAUCAACCCCCCACCUCCUUGGCAUUCGACCCCCCGGCUCUCCUGUGCUAAAGCCAGAAGAAAUCUGGAAAGCAGCAGGUCAGGAUGACAGCAAGCUCUCCAUCUUUUAUAAACAUAAACUGUAUCCUCAUCAUGUCAGAACCCUUGCUGGAGACUCGGAAAAUGAUAGCAGAAAACUAUCAACAAAAGAAGAGAAUGAGUCAUUUCUUUUUUACUGACUCCCCUUCUUGGUCCAGCACUGGCUGACGUUUGGCCAUUGCUUUGGCCUGUCUAUAAAACACAAGGGACCAUAAUUGUAUGGUUUCAUAUGCUCUCAUGCCCACAAGCCUUUCUCACUCAAAUUCGCCAAAUGGGGCAAGCAAGGAGUGAGGUAUUUUCGGGGGUUCUUUAGUAGAGAUCAUGUUGGCCCAACUUGACGUGGGUCAUAAACUCUACUUUGUACAAAGGAUCCUGAUCUUUAUUUUGAGAGGAACAACAAUUAUAGUCCCUAAGACCUGAGACCAACAGCAUUUUUGAGGAGGGAAAAGAAAAGAACCGUGAAGACGAAGAUGUGCUGAGAAGUGGGCGA